AUAAAGGCAAAAGCGCGCUUAACUGCGAGACCCACAAGUCGAGCAGGUACGAAAGUAGGUCUUAGUGAUCCGGUGGUUCUGUAUGGAAGGGCCAUCGCUCAACGGAUAAAAGGUACUCUGGGGAUAACAGGCUGAUACCGCCCAAGAGUUCAUAUCGACGGCGGUGUUUGGCACCUCGAUGUCGGCUCAUCUCAUCCUGGGGCUGAAGCAGGUCCCAAGGGUAUGGCUGUUCGCCAUUUAAAGAGGUACGCGAGCUGGGUUUAGAACGUCGUGAGACAGUUCGG
rnacentral:rRNA from 1 species